AAUCCGCGAGAAGCGGGAUUUCUUACAGAUUAAGUCAUGCAUGUUUAAGUAUAAGCAAUCUAUACAGUGAAACUGUGAAUGGCUCAUUAAAUCAGUUAUCAUUUAUUUGAUAGUAUCUUACUACUUGAAUACCUGUGGUAAUUCUAGAGCUAAUACAUGCUAAAAACCUCGACUUCAGAAGAAGUGUAUUUAUUAGAUAAAAAAAUUAAUGCUCUUCAGAGCUUCUUGAUAAUUCAUAAUUACUUAUUAAAUUGCAUGAUCUUGUACUGACAAUGAUUCAUUCAAAUUUCUACUCUAUCAACUUUCAAUGAUAGAAUAGUGACCUAUUAUAGUGACAAUGAAUAAGAGAGAAUUAGAGUUUAAUUUCAGAGAGAGAGUCUGAGAAACAGUUAUCACAUUCAAGAAAGGCAGCAGUAGACUGGUCAUCAGAACCAUGAAUUUCACAUUUAGUCUCAUUUAGUCUGGUCUCAUACAUUUCUUGGCGUGAAUCCUGCUGGGACUGACUAUUAAAAAAACAUGUAAAGUGACUAUAUAUCAGAUCUUAAAAUGAAACCAUGACUUGAAAAAAAUGAGAAAGUGAUUUCAUUUGAUCUCAUUUAGUCUCAUUCUUGGCAUAAAGUUACUGUUUUUAGACAUUUUAAGAUUUUUUUUAGACUAUUUUUAAUUUUUUAAAAAGUAAUGCUUUUUGAUAACACUCAAAUGAGAUUUAAAGUCAUUUAAAGCAAUAAAAAUAAUUUAAAUUGAGAAGUAAAAAUCAUGAUCUCAUUUAAAAAAUGUGAUAAGAGUAGAUAGUAAGUUUCACUGAGAUAGUAUAAAACUACUAUCUAAUGUUAAAACUGUGUAAUGGGAUCAGUCGAAUUAGUAAUAAAACUAUCAAAAAAUCUGAUUCUGGUCUCAGACACGGUCACACGGUCAGUCUAGACAGCAGGCGCGCAAAUUAUUCAAUUCUGAUAUAAGAAGAUAGUGAAUAAUAAAUACUGAUACAGAGCUCUUUCAGAUCUUGUAAUUAAAAUGAGUACAAUCUAAAUCUCUUAAUAAGGAAUAAUUGAAGAGCAAGUCUGAUGUCAGCAGCUGUGGUAAUUUCAGCUUCAAUAGUGUAUAUUAAAGUUGUUGCAGUUAAAAAGCUCAUAGUUAAACCUUGAAUCUGACUGACUGAUCUGUCUCAUUAUAUGUACUGAUUCAGCUGAACCUUUUCUUCUGAGAAGUCCCAUGAUCUUUACUGACUGUGAGAGAAACCAGGACUUUUACUGUGAAAAAAUUAGAGUGUUUAAAGCAGGCCUUUGCUCAGAUACAUUAGCAUGAAAUAAUAGAAUAGAAUAUAUGAUUCUAUUUUAUUGAUUUCUAGAACUGCUGUAAUGAUUAAUAGAGAUGAUCAAAGACAUCAGUAUUCAGCUGUCAGAGGUGAAAUUCUUGAAUUUGCUAAAGACUAACUACUGUGAAAGCAUUCAUCAACAAUGUUUUCAUUAAUCAGUGAAUGAAAGUUAGAGAAUUGAAGAUGAUCAGAUACUGUUAAGUAGAUAAAAGAAAACUUCUUAUACCUUGUGAAACAUGA
rfam:Blastomyces gilchristii SLH14081 genomic scaffold supercont1.7, whole genome shotgun sequence.